rnacentral:rRNA from 1 species
AUUGAACGCUGGCGGCAUGCCUUACACAUGCAAGUCGAACGGCAGCACGGGUGCUUGCACCUGGUGGCGAGUGGCGAACGGGUGAGUAAUACAUCGGAACAUGUCCUGUAGUGGGGGAUAGCCCGGCGAAAGCCGGAUUAAUACCGCAUACGAUCCACGGAUGAAAGCGGGGGACCUUCGGGCCUCGCGCUAUAGGGUUGGCCGAUGGCUGAUUAGCUAGUUGGUGGGGUAAGGGCCUACCAAGGCGACGAUCAGUAGCUGGUCUGAGAGGACGACCAGCCACACUGGGACUGAGCCACGGCCCAGACUCCUACGGGAGGCAGCAGUGGGGAAUUUUGGACAAUGGGCGAAAGCCUGAUCCAGCAAUGCCGCGUGUGUGAAGAAGGCCUUCGGGUUGUAAAGCACUUUUGUCCGGAAAGAAAUCCUUGACUCUAAUACAGUCGGGGGAUGACGGUACCGGAAGAAUAAGCACCGGCUAACUACGUG